UUUUAAACACAUUUAUUGUACAUUUAUUUAUUAUAUAGAUAGUAAAAAUCUAUUUAAAGUUCAAUCGAAUUCGUUUUACUAAUCAUUCUAGAUUAAAGUAAGCAUUUCUUUACGAAUUGAUCGUUACAAAAGAUAUUAAUACGAUUAUCAUGUAACAGAAAGGUUGCAUUACUUUACAGUUUUAUAGUUCAUGAAUGAGAGAAUGCAUUUAGUAUUUAACAGACAGUGCUGAUGAAGAAUUAGCUAACAUUUGCAAUUUUACCAUGAAGAAUUACUAUCUGGUAAUUUACAAUCGAACAAGAUUCACUAUUGAAGUGAUUUUAACAGCAUGAAGAAAAUACAGCAAUAAAUAAUUCAUCAAAUAAAAUAAUUUUUCUUGAUAAAAACCGAUAUAUAUUGUAAACAUUCAUCAUGAAUUCUGUAAUUAUAUUUGCUCUAACACUUGUCAUAUUACUUAAUGUAAAAUAUGGAUUAUUGAUAUCACAGCAUCCAAAGUUAUUAGUAGUAUCAUUUGAUGCAUUCAGAUAUGAUUAUUUUAACAGAAACUUAACACCAUUUAUGAAUAAAUUAAGACAUGAAGGCACACAUGCAGAUUAUAUGAUGAAUAUUUUUGUUACAAAAACAUUUCCCAAUCAUCAUACAAUGGCUACAGGAUUAUAUGCAGAAACACAUGGAGUUAUAGAUAAUGAAUUUUAUGAUGUUAUUUCUGGAAAUAUAACAAAAUAUUCAUAUAAUUUGUAUCAUUAUGAUAAUAAAGUUCUUCCUAUUUGGACUGCUAAUGAAAAAGGAGGUGCACAAAGGCGAAGUGGCUCAAUGAUGUGGCCUGGUGGCAUUUAUGAAUAUCAAGGAAUAACUCCUACAUUUACACAGAAUUUUAAUGAAAAUGUACCUUGGGAAGAAAGAAUAGAUACUUUAAUAUCAUGGUUUAUUCAUCCUAUACAUCCAAUUAAUUUUGGAAUAUUAUAUAUUGAAGAACCAGAUUAUCACGGUCAUGGCAUUGGAAUAAAAGGACUUGAAUUUGAUAAUAUUCUUAGAAAAUUAGAUAAUAUAACUAAAUAUCUUCAUAACAAGAUAGAAUACCAUGGCUUAAAUGAUCUCAAUGUUGUUCAUUUGAGUGAUCAUGGAAUGGCAACUGUUAAGUUAGAUAGAAUAAUAGAUCUAACAAAAUAUAUUAACAGUUCUGAUUAUAAAUUUGUGGGUACUUCACCAGGAUUACAUAUUUUUCCUAAUCCUGGCAAAGAAGAAACAAUUUAUCAAACAUUAAAACAAAUGGCAUCAAAAUUGAGAAAAUUUAGAGUUUAUAGAAGAGAGGAAAUUCCUAAAAAAUAUCAUUAUGGAAAUAAUACACGUAUUGGUCCUAUUUUUGUUAUUGCUGAAGUGGGAUAUGCAUUUCAAAAUCUUCUUGACAAUAUUGAGUUUUAUAAAAAGAAAUUUAAUAUUACAGUAAACAAUGAUUCAGAAUUUGGUCUGCAUGGUUAUGAUAAUGAAGCUAUAGAAAUGCAUCCUUUUUUUUUUGCAAAAGGCCCUGCAUUUAUGUCUAACUGCAAACUUGAACCUUUUAAUAAUCUAGAUUUAUAUCCAUUAUUCUGUAAAAUACUUGAUCUUCAAUGUCCUAUAGUAAAUGGUACUUUAUCGCAUUUAACCAAGUGCCUUAAAAAACAUCAGCAGGAUAUUACAGUGAUUGCUUAUCGAAUGAUAUUUAUAGCUACCAUCAUAUCCAUGUCAAUGGUUGGAGUUAUAGGAGCAAUAGUAAUGUUCUAUAUGAGAAAACGACGAUUGGGAGUUAGAAGUUACAGGAGAUAUUAUCCAGUGGAUGGAUAAUAUAUAAAAAAUAUCGAGCAAUAUAUGAAAUUUAUGAAUUUUCAUAUUGCAUAUAGAUAACAAACUGAAUCACAAAAGUAAAGAUGAUAUAAUAAUAAAAAAAUAGCAUAGUCAUCUUCCUGAUGGAGAAUAAAUAAAUAUAAUUUCGUUUAUCAUAAAUUGAUCGUUUAUCGUCAUUUUAUUGUUUUAAUCCUCAGUAAAAUAGUAAAAUAUUUGCAUUUUAUUCGUUUUAAAUAAUUAAUUAUUUAGUACCUAUAUAAUACCUAUAGAAUUAAUUCAUAUUAUACUAUACAUAUAUAUUUUUAAAUUUAUAAUAAUAUGUAUCAUUUUGAAUUAGUUUUUAUUAGGAAAUGUUAAAUAUAUGAGGUAUGCAAAAAAUUUUAAUGUUUAAACAAUUAUUAAAGCACAAUAAUAAGAAUAAAUUUUUUAAUAAAGAACGAAAAUUAAAUUUCUCAUUUAUAUGUUUAUAAAUUCAUUAUAAAAAGAGUUAUUUCCUAAUACUUCUUUUCCUUGUAGCAUUAAUAUAAAAAAUAACCAGAUUCGACUUUUGUUUUUAGAAGAAUACUGGAAGAUUUGGAAGCACAAUACCAUUGGGAUGAAAAUCACGAUAUUGAAAAUGCUACUUGCAAAUUAAACAAUUUUCCAGAUUUAUUCAUAAUUUCAUGCUACGCGAAGAAUAAAUAUUUGUACGCAUAUAAAGGAAAUGUUAAGUAUAGGAAAACUCUGUUUCAUUGUAGGUGACAUAUAUUUUACUCAUUAUAUGGUUAAUAUAUUUUUAUAUACAUAUAAAUGAGAAAAUAAUUCUGUGAUAAAAGGAAAAAGAAUUGAUACUUUCAAAUGUGAAUUUUUUACAAAUAAUAUAUAGUGAAUAAUCAUUAUUAAGUCUUAGACAUAAAAAUUCAGUUUUCGUAAUAUUUCCUUGACAAAAUUCUUAUUUUUUUCAUAAUUAUAUUAUACAAAAUACAGUCAUUAUAUCAUACAAAAUAUUAAUAAUAUAAUAUAUAUAAAAAUCUUGUUUCUAAUGAUAUAAAAAUUCUAUGAAUAUAAAUGAUAUCAAAAAAUUUGUUUGAAAUGAAAUCUUUCAUAAAAGAAUGAUAAUAUGCACAGUAUUAUUUUAAAAAUUAGCAUAUAAUAUGAUUCAUUCUAUACAUCAUUUAUGGAAUAUUUUACAAAAUUCAAUUUUGUAAAUUUUAAUUUGCAAACCAAAUGUACUUAUCAUAAUUAUGCACCAAUUGUAUAACAAUUCGUAUGUAAAUAAAUCAAUAUUGUAAAUAAAUACUAUUAACAUAAAA